CCUACGGGUGGCAGCAGUGGGGAAUAUUGCACAAUGGGCGCAAGCCUGAUGCAGCCAUGCCGCGUGUGUGAAGAAGGCCUUCGGGUUGUAAAGCACUUUCAGCGGGGAGGAAGGCGUUAAGGUUAAUAACCUUGGCGAUUGACGUUACCCGCAGAAGAAGCACCGGCUAACUCCGUGCCAGCAGCCGCGGUAAUACGGAGGGUGCAAGCGUUAAUCGGAAUUACUGGGCGUAAAGCGCACGCAGGCGGUCUGUCAAGUCGGAUGUGAAAUCCCCGGGCUCAACCUGGGAACUGCAUUCGAAACUGGCAGGCUAGAGUCUUGUAGAGGGGGGUAGAAGUCCAGGUGUAGCGGUGAAAUGCGUAGAGAUCUGGAGGAAUACCGGUGGCGAAGGCGGCCCCCUGGACAAAGACUGACGCUCAGGUGCGAAAGCGUGGGGAGCAAACAGGAGUAGAUACCCUAGUAGUC
rnacentral:rRNA from 1 species